GGCGACACCGCGCGGAACCGAAGCCGUUCUCAGUUCGGAUCGGAGUCUGCAACCCGACUCCGUGAAGCUGGAUUCGCUAGUAAUCGCGCAUCAGCCAUGGCGCGGUGAAUACGUUCCCGGGCCUUGUACACACCGCCCGUCACACCAUGAGAGUUGAGAAUACCCGAAGCCCAUGUCAAAGUGGUCGAAGGUAGGCUUGAUGAUUGGGGUGAAGUCGUAACAAGGUAAC
rnacentral:rRNA from 1 species